AACGAACGCUGGCGGCAUGCCUAACACAUGCAAGUCGAACGCUCGCAAGAGAGUGGCGCACGGGUGAGUAACACGUAGCUAAUCUGCCCUCAAGACAAGGAUAACUGUAGGAAACUACUGCUAAUACUUGAUAAGCUUACGGACUGUAGAGGUCUAUAAGAAAGAUUUAUCGCUUGAGGAUGAGGCUGCGCGCCAUCAGCUAGUUGGUAAGGUAAUGGCUUACCAAGGCGACGACGGCUAGGGGACCUGGGAGGGUGACCCCCCACACUGGGACUGAGACACGGCCCAGACUCCUACGGGAGGCAGCAAUGAGGAAUAUUGCUCAAUGGGCGCAAGCCUGAAGCAGCGACGCCGCGUGGAUGAAGAAGGUUUUCGGACUGUAAAAUCCUUUUCUGUGUGACGAGAGUGGACGGUAACACAGGAAUAAGUCUCGGCUAACUACGUGCCAGCAGCCGCGGUAAU
rnacentral:rRNA from 1 species